rnacentral:rRNA from 1 species
UACGUAGGGGGCAAGCGUUGUCCGGAUUUAUUGGGCGUAAAGAGCUCGUAGGCGGCCUGUUGCGUCCGCUGUGAAAAGCCCCGGGGCUUAACCCCGGGUCUGCAGUGGAUACGGGCAGGCUAGAGGUAGGUAGGGGAGAAUGGAAUUCCCAGUGUAGAGGUGAAAUUCGUAGAUAUUGGGAAGAACACCGGUGGCGAAGGCGGCGACCUGGUCCGAUACUGACGCUGAGGCGC